UACGGAGGGUGCAAGCGUUGUCCGGAAUCACUGGGUGUAAAGGGUGUGUAGGCGGACUUGUAAGUCAGGGGUGAAAGCCACCGGCCUAACCGGUGAACUGCCCUUGAUACUGCAGGUCUUGAGUCCUGGAGGGGUCACUAGAAUUCGUGGUGUAGCGGUGAAAUGCGUAGAUAUCACGAGGAAUACCAGAGGCGAAGGCGGGUGACUGGACAGGUACUGACGCUGAGGCACGAAAGCGUGGGGAGCAAACAGG
rnacentral:misc_RNA from 1 species